CACAGUCCUAUGGAGGAGGAUUUACAGGACACGGUCUUCAUUAAUGGAGCCCAUCUCAGCCUUGCAAUCCUCAUGCAGAGGAACAGCAGGAGUUUCUUUAGGACUCCUCACCACACAGGGGUUGGUUGUUUGUGAAAAUGGGAUGUCUUGGAAGGAAACUUGCAUCUGAACUCCUCAGCAGUCAUCCUCCAGCAGUUUGGCUACUGCAUUUUCUGAUCUCCUUAUACCAUUGCGGCAAUAAUGAUGCUCCUGCCCCUGCAACCACCAUGAAUAAAAUAUAGAAUGCCUGCCAAAGGGGCAUUUUUGUCUAACAGGGUUGCUGCUAUGGGGGUCACAUCUUAAAAGUGAUGGCCAGAGGCGUUGAUUGAAGAGACACAGCACAAGGUCCAUGCCAGAAGGUUAUCUGCUGCUGACACUGCCCCUGCAAGGCUUGUGCUCGAACCUUCCCCAUCACCCACCGGACCUCUGCACUUCCCAGAAUCAUUGAGGACUUCUCAUAUUUGCAGUUGAUUUGCCGACAAUCUCCUCUUGCUCCAAACAAGCACAAAUGAAAGGAGGAACCAAGUUCAGCCUGGAUAGGCCAUAAACCUGCUUCCACCAAAGGAAAACCUGUCCCGC